UACGGAGGGUGCGAGCGUUGUUCGGAAUCACUGGGCGUAAAGGGCGUGUAGGCGGUCCGUUAUGUCUGAUGUGAAAGCCCGGGGCUCACCCCCGGAAGUGCAUUGGAAACUGACGGACUCGAGUCCCGGAGAGGAGGGUGGAAUUCCUGGUGCAGCGGUGAAAUGCGUAGAGAUCGUAAGGAAGACCAGUGGCGAAGGCGGGUCUCUGGACAGUUCCUGACACUGAGGCACGAAGGCCAGGGGAGCAAACGGG
rnacentral:rRNA from 1 species